GCCUUUGUGGUGUAACGGUAGCACACUCGGCGCGUAUUCGAGAGGUUCAGGUUCGAGCCCCGGCGAGGGCG
rnacentral:tRNA from 1 species